rnacentral:RNase_P_RNA from 1 species
AAUGUCGGGAGGAAAGUCCGGGCAGCUCGAGCCACCAUGCUUCCUAACGGGAAGGGACUCUGUCUGUAAAGGCAGAGUUACAGCCAGCGCCACAGAAAAGAUACCACCGAAAGGUAAGGGUGAAAACGCGGGGUAAGAGCCCACGACGUGUCCUGGUGACAGGCACGAUGGCAAGCCUCAUGGGCUGAAAGACCAUGUAUACCAGUCUGUCGUAUGACAGCAAGCCGGCUCGCUUGUUUGGCUGGGGGGUAGGUUGAUAGAGGCCGUCGGCGACGGCGGCCCUAGAUUAAUGAUAGAACACGACAGAACCCGGCUUAUAGACCGUU